rnacentral:rRNA from 1 species
AUGAACGCUAGCUACAGGCUUAACACAUGCAAGUCGAGGGGCAGCAUGGUCUUAGCUUGCUAAGGCCGAUGGCGACCGGCGCACGGGUGAGUAACGCGUAUCCAACCUGCCUUACACUCUUGGACAGCCUUCUGAAAGGGAGAUUAAUACAAGAUGUUAUCAUGAGUAAGCAUUUUCGCAUGAUUAAAGGUUUACCGGUGUAAGAUGGGGAUGCGUUCCAUUAGAUAGUAGGCGGGGUAACGGCCCACCUAGUCUUCGAUGGAUAGGGGUUCUGAGAGGAAGGUCCCCCACAUUGGAACUGAGACACGGUCCAAACUCCUACGGGAGGCAGCAGUGAGGAAUAUUGGUCAAUGGACGAGAGUCUGAACCAGCCAAGUAGCGUGAAGGAUGAAGGUUCUAUGGAUUGUAAACUUCUUUUAUACGGGAAUAAACGAAUCCACGCGUGGAUUUUUGCAUGUACCGUAUGAAUAAGGAUCGGCUAACUCCGUGCCAGCAGCCGCGGUAAUACGGAGGAUCCGAGCGUUAUCCGGAUUUAUUGGGUUUAAAGGGAGCGUAGAUGGGUUGUUAAGUCAGUUGUGAAAGUUUGCGGCUCAACCGUAAAAUUGCAAUUGAUACUGGCAGUCUUGAGUACAGUUGAGGUAGGCGGAAUUCGUGGUGUAGCGGUGAAAUGCUUAGAUAUCACGAAGAACUCCGAUUGCGAAGGCAGCUUACUAACCUGUAACUGACAUUGAUGCUCGAAAGUGUGGGUAUCAAACAGGAUUAGAUACCCUGGUAGUCCACACGGUAAACGAUGAAUACUCGCUGUAGGCGAUAUACAGUCUGCGGCCAAGCGAAAGCAUUAAGUAUUCCACCUGGGGAGUACGCCGGCAACGGUGAAACUCAAAGGAAUUGACGGGGGCCCGCACAAGCGGUGGAGCAUGUGGUUUAAUUCGAAGCAACGCGAAGAACCUUACCAAGUCUUGACAUCCUGCGACGAUGCUGGAAACAGUAUUUUCCUUCGGGACGCAGAGACAGGUGGUGCAUGGUUGUCGUCAGCUCGUGCCGUGAGGUGUCGGCUUAAGUGCCAUAACGAGCGCAACCCUUGCCGAUAGUUACUAACAGGUCAUGCUGAGGACUCUGUCGGGACUGCCAUCGUAAGAUGUGAGGAAGGUGGGGAUGACGUCAAAUCAGCACGGCCCUUACGUCCGGGGCUACACACGUGUUACAAUGGGGGGUACAGAGGGCUGCUACCACGCAAGUGGAUGCCAAUCCCAAAAACCUCUCUCAGUUCGGAUUGAAGUCUGCAACCCGACUUCAUGAAGCUGGAUUCGCUAGUAAUCGCGCAUCAGCCACGGCGCGGUGAAUACGUUCCCGGGCCUUGUACACACCGCCCGUCAAGCCAUGGGAGCCGGGGGUACCUGAAGUGCGUAACCGCAAGGAGCGCCCUAGGGUAAAACUGGUGACUGGGGCU